UUCCUUCUCUUGCACGACAACAGUUAAUAUCCAUCUUCACAUAUGGUUGGGAAAACAGAAUCCAAAAGAAAAAAAUUGUUAGAGAUACUAUUAGCUAGCUUUCCUUCUCUUUCACAACAGCUAAUUUCAAUCUAAUCUCUCAUCUCUCACAUUGGAGAUCUGUUUUGCACAAAAGAGAUACAAAUAGCUUUCCUUCUAUUACGUGGAAGCAGUUAAUUUCCAUCUAAUCUCUCAUCUCUCACGUUCAUGAAUUUUGUGUGCAGAUUCCUGGAUCGCUUCUCUCUCGAACUCUGGAGCGGCCGCUGCAUGCCCUACUAGAAGCAGCUGAUCAUCAUCUCUCUCACAUGUCAAGGAUGGAGGUAUGUAUGGAUGUGGUGCAGCGGCAUGACGAAUAUAGGGCCAAACCCUAGAGCUUCAUGGUCCAACUGGGGUCCUAUCCUUUGCCAUGCCCACCGGUACUGCCAUAACUUUGUCAAUUAAAGUCUUCACCCAGAUGUACUUCUGAAUCAUGCUAAUUAACCUCACCAUGUAAGCUGCCGCACACAUCAAGAUCCAUCAAUAAAUCAAAGAAGAGUUCCUUCAGCCUCCUACUCCAUGCCAUGGGUUCGUCAUUGCAGCGCCCAGCUGUACAAUACGUAUAGUUUGGUGCAGCCGUGUUGCUGAAUGGAAGCAUAUAUUGUUUUUUUGCCUUUGCCUAUUACUCUCCGAUGAUGAACAACCUUGACCUGUGAUUAUUUGAUGCCUGCAGAACAUGCACAGAUACUUAGAAAGGAUCAAUGCAAGAACGAUUUCAUGGUCGGUGCUUUAAUUAGCUAGCAGCCAAACACAUACGUACAUGUACCCCAGCUGCGCAAGCAGGCAGGUCGAUUGAUUCUGGCGUGAAGGAGCCUCCGCAGCAAAUGCUUUGGGCAGCAGGAGACGCUAUGUUUUGUUCUGUAAAUUCUCCCACAUCAAGUCUAACUGGUAUAUCACGUGUCGAUCCUUUGCCUAGACAAAAACAUGGCAGGAGGCUAUAGCUUUUCAAAUUAUCUCCACUAGAUUUUUUUUUUUGCGGGGGUUCUGCUAUUUAUUUCCACUAUAUUUACAUUUUAAUAAAUAGAAAUAAGAUGAAUAUCGGCUACAAUGCAGAAGUCAGAUUUCCAUUCAUUUGUAUGUACUAUUUGGUUAUAAAGGAUUUCAUUUAAGCAAAUAAUUUUUCAACUAUGUGUAUUACGAAUACUAGAUGCAUUGCGUCACUAUUCUCCUGCUGCAUUGUGAUAUUUUGACGACUACAAACUGUUGUAAGUAUAAUCAAAUUACUCGACAACCAUGAGUAUUGUUGCCCGUAAUAUCUACCGACUAUUGCUCCUGUUUUUUUAUAAAUUUUACUCGCUUUGACGCCACUUAUGCAGAUCAACUCAACGUGU
rnacentral:lncRNA from 1 species